rnacentral:rRNA from 1 species
UUGUAAUUUGGAGAAGGUGCUUCGGGAGAGAUGAUGGUCCAAGUCCCUUGGAAUAGGGCGUCACAGAGGGUGAGAAUCCCGUAUGUGGCCNGUCAUCGAUUCCAUGUGAGGCCCUUUCGACGAGUCGAGUUGUUUGGGAAUGCAGCUCUAAAUGGGUGGUAAAUUUCAUCUAAAGCUAAAUACCUGCCAGAGACCGAUAGCGCACAAGUAGAGUGAUCGAAAGAUGAAAAGCACUUUGAAAAGAGAGUCAAACAGUACGUGAAAUUGUUGAAAGGGAAGCGUUUGCAAUCAGACUCGUUUGCAGAGGCUCAGCUUUCCUUCGGGAUUGUGUAUUCUUCUGUCAACGGGCCAGCAUCAGUUUCGGCGGCCGGAUAAAGGUUCUGGGAACGUAGCUCUCUUCGGAGAGUGUUAUAGCCCGGAGCGUAAUGCGGCAGCCGAGACUGAGGUCCGCGCUCUUGCUAGGAUGCUGGCAUAAUGGUUGUA